GACGAUAAGACCCUAAAAGUUUUAUUUUAACGGAGAUUUGAGUUAAAAAUAAGAAGGUAAUUUAGCUGGGGUAGCAACUUUAAUUUAGCUGAGGGCUUAUUAGACACUAAGUGGGUAAGGUCCUUUAUAUAGGGAUAAUUAGAAAAAGUUACUUUAGGGUUAACAGCGUAAUAAACUCAAGGAGAUCGUAUUUAUGAGUUUGAUUGCGACCUCGAUGUUGAAUUAUAUUAUCAUUAUGGAGCAAUCCCUAUAGGUGAGGGUUUGUUCAACCUUUAAAUUUUUACAUGAUCUGAGU
rnacentral:rRNA from 1 species